rnacentral:rRNA from 1 species
UGUUUCCCGAUUUUAAGAGGAGUUAAUGGUUUAUUAUAGUUGCUGUUUUAUAAGUAUUGUUAAUAUUCUGUUAGUAGUGAAAUGUUAUUCGUCUUUGUUGGUUUCUGGUUUUUCAAGAAAUGAAUUUAAUUCAUGCGUCUUAUUUAAAUUUAUUAUUUGUUUAUUAAGUUUUAAUUUGCUGUUAAUAUUAGGGGGGAUUAGCUCUCUAUUAUAUGUUUAUUAUAAUUUUGUUUAGUUCUGGAUUUUUGUUGAUUUUAUAUUGAUUUUCUAUUUGAUUAUGUUAAAAUUUUAUUUUUUGUUUGUUUAAUUUUUUUCUAUUUAAUUUUUUAUUGAAAUGUUAUUUAUAAUUUUUUUUGUUUUGCAUUUAUUGUUGAAUUAGUAAAUCUUUUUUAUAUUUUGUUGAUAUUUAUUUGUUAAUUUCUUCUUAGGAAUUAGGCAAAAUUUUUGUGUCCGCCUGUUUAACAAAAACAUCUUUUCUUGUUAGUUUUUGAAGUAUGGCCUGCCCACUGAGUAUUUUGAAGGGCCGCGGUAUUUUGACCGUGCAAAGGUAGCAUAAUCAUUAGUUCUUUAAUUGUGAUCUGGAAUGAAUGGCUUGACGAGAUGCAGACUGUCUUAGAUUUUGUUGAAUUGUUUAUGUUGAAUUUGGUUUCUGAGUUAAAAUUCUCAGCUUUUUUUAUGGGACGAGAAGACCCUAUAGAGUUUUUAACACUUGCUUUUAUUUAUUUUUGGUUGGUUUAUUUCUAUUGAUGAUUAUAGNGGUUUGGUGGGGUGAUGGGAAGAAUUUAUUUAACUCUUCUUUCUUUUACAUUAUUAGGUUUUU